UACGAACUGUGCAAACGUUAUUCGGAAUCACUGGGCUUAAAGGGCGCGUAGGCGGGCUAUCAAGUCCGGGGUGAAAUCCUCCCGCUCAACGGGAGAACGGCCUCGGAUACUGAUGGUCUCGAGGGGGAUAGGGGCACACGGAACUGUGGGUGGAGCGGUGAAAUGCGUUGAUAUCCAUAGGAACUCCGGUGGCGAAAGCGGUGUGCUGGAUCCCUUCUGACGCUGAGGCGCGAAAGCCAGGGGAGCGAACGGG
rnacentral:rRNA from 1 species